rnacentral:rRNA from 1 species
AGAGUUUGAUCCUGGCUCAGAACGAACGCUGGCGGCAGGCCUAACACAUGCAAGUCGAACGCUCCGCAAGGAGAGUGGCAGACGGGUGAGUAACACGUGGGAAUCUACCUAGUGGUACGGAAUAGCUCAGGGAAACUUGAGGUAAUACCGUAUAAGCCCUUACGGGGAAAGAUUUAUCGCCAUUAGAUGAGCCCGCGUCUGAUUAGCUAGUUGGUGAGGUAAUGGCUCACCAAGGCGACGAUCAGUAGCUGGUUUGAGAGAAUGACCAGCCACACUGGGACUGAGACACGGCCCAGACUCCUACGGGAGGCAGCAGUGGGGAAUCUUGGACAAUGGGCGCAAGCCUGAUCCAGCCAUGCCGCGUGAGUGACGAAGGCCUUAGGGUUGUAAAGCUCUUUU